CAAAGACGGGGCGGGUGCAACUGCCACUUCAGAUCCUGAUGGAGAUGGAGACAUCUCUACAAUGGACCCUGAGCCAGAACUGGUCCAUCGUGGAUCACAGUGCAACAUAAGAUGUUUACAUCGUUCAUUAGGUGUUCAGGUAAAGCCUCAGAUGGUGGAUGUGGGGACUCAAACCGAAAGUCCUGAACAAAGUGAUGAUGAAUGGUCAUUUUCUGAUAUUGUCAACCAUUCUGGUGAUAUGUCAUGGAGUCCAGGGGA